rnacentral:rRNA from 1 species
GACGAACGCUGGCGGCGUGCCUAAUACAUGCAAGUCGAACGCAGUGGGGACGGGUGAGUAACACGUGGGUAACCUCCCAUCAGAGGGGAUAACACUUGGAAACAGGUGCUAAACCGAUACUGAUGGAUGGACCAGCGGUGCAUUAGCUAGUUGGUGAGGUAACGGCUCACCAAGGCCACGAUGCAUCGCCGACCUGAGAGGGUGAUCGGCCCAACUGGGACUGAGACACGGCCCAGACUCCUACGGGAGGCAGCAGUAGAGAAUCAUCGGCAAUGGACGAAAGACUGACCGAGGAACGCCGCGUGAAGGAAGACGGUCUUCGGAUUGUAAACUGCUUUAGACAGGGACGCGGUACCUGUAGAAUAAGCCACGGCUAACUACGUGCCAGCAGCCGCGGUAAUAC